AUGCUUGUCUCAAAGAUUAAGCCAUGCAUGUCUAAGUAUAAACAAAUUUGUACUGUGAAACUGCGAAUGGCUCAUUAAAUCAGUUAUAGUUUAUUUGAUGGUACAUUACUACAUGGAUAACUGUGGUAAUUCUAGAGCUAAUACAUGCGUUAAAAUCCCGACUUACGAAGGGAUGUAUUUAUUAGAUACAAAACCAAUUCGUGGCAACACGAUAUUGGUGAGUCAUAAUAACUUUUCGAAUCGCAUGGCCUUGAGCCGGCGAUGCAUCAUUCAAAUAUCUGCCCUAUCAACUUUGGAUGGUAGGAUAGAGGCCUACCAUGGUUUUAACGGGUAACGGGGAAUAAGGGUUCGAUUCCGGAGAGGGAGCCUGAGAAACGGCUACCACAUCCAAGGAAGGCAGCAGGCGCGCAAAUUACCCAAUCCCGACACGGGGAGGUAGUGACAAUAUGUAACAAUAUACGGCCUUUAGGUCGUAUAAUUGGAAUGAGUACAAUUUAAAUACCUUAACG
rnacentral:rRNA from 1 species